rnacentral:rRNA from 1 species
AUGGUGUUGUGCCUCGGCAGCUGGGAUCAUGCAAGGCAGAUGGGAAGCAACAGUGCCGCCUCUCCCCCCGAGCUCCAAAUACAUGAUAGCAGCAUCGAGGAGGAGAAAAACUGCAUUCAGAGGUUACGGAAUGGCAAUGGGUGGGUUACCUCCCAGGAGCAGAUGACUGGCAUGGUUAGUGCUCUAGGCCAUGAAUCUCAUGGAUCCCAUGAUACAGUAUUUUUAUGGUGCAUGUAUCUGGUCCAAAUCCGACGGAGACAAGCAAAAUCGUGCUGCUUCUUCUUCUUUCGAUUCUACUAUGGGUACAAGCAACUUCUAUUUCGCUCGUCACCGGAAACCACCGCCCAGAUCCAUCUCUUCUCAACCAUGCCGACGUGGUGGUCAGGGGCGCUUACAACUUGUGAGGGCCUGCAUUCUCGCUGUUGA